rnacentral:tRNA from 1 species
GAGGAUGUACCGAAGCGGCUAACGGUCUAGGUUGCAACCCUAGUGUUCAUGGGUUCGAGUCCCAUCAUUCUCU